GACGAACGCUGGCGGCGUGCUUAACACAUGCAAGUCGAACGGAAAGGCUCCAGCUUGCUGGCGUACUCGAGUGGCGAACGGGUGAGUAACACGUGGGUAAUCUGCCCUGCACUCUGGGAUAAGCCUGGGAAACUGGGUCUAAUACUGGAUAUGACCUUUCUCCUUAUGGGGUUUGGUGGAAAGUUUUUCGGUGUAGGAUGAGCCCGCGGCCUAUCAGCUUGUUGGUGGGGUGAUGGCCUACCAAGGCGACGACGGGUAGCCGGCCUGAGAGGGUGAUCGGCCACAUUGGGAUUGAGAUACGGCCCAGACUCCUACGGGAGGCAGCAGUGGGGAAUAUUGCACAAUGGGCGGAAGCCUGAUGCAGCGACGCCGCGUGAGGGAUGACGGCCUUCGGGUUGUAAACCUCUUUCAGCAGGGACGAAGCGUAAGUGACGGUACCUGCAGAAGAAGCACCGGCUAACUAUGUG
rnacentral:rRNA from 1 species